rnacentral:tRNA from 1 species
UUCCUGGUGGUCCAGUGGUUAGGGCUUGGCGCUUUCACUGCUGGGGACAGGGUUCAAUUCCUGGUCAGGGAU